GGCCCCGUCGCCAAGUGGUAAGGCAGAGGUCUGCAAAACCUCCAUCGCCAGUUCGAAUCUGGCCGGGGCCUCCA
rnacentral:tRNA from 2 species